GAUGAAAGCUGGCGGCGUGCCUAAUACAUGCAAGUCGAGCGACGCGGGGAAGGGUGAGUAACAAGGGGAUAACCUCCUAUAAGACUGGGAUAACUUCGGGACACCGGAACUAAACAGGAUACUUAUCAAUGGAACCGCGCUGCAUUAGCUCGUUGGUAAGGUAAAGGCUUACCAAGGCAACGAUGCAUAGCCGACCUGAGAGGGUGAUCGGCCACACUGGAACUGAGACACGGUCCAGACUCCUACGGGAGGCAGCAGUAGGGAAUCUUCCGCAAUGGGCGAAAGCCUGACGGAGCAACGCCGCGUGAGUGAUGAAGGUCUUCGGAUCGUAAAACUCUGUUAUUAGGGAAGCGGUACCUAUUCAGAAAGCCACGGCUAACUACGUGCCAGCAGCCGCGGUAAUAC
rnacentral:rRNA from 1 species